AUAUUCUGUGGUUCUUCCUGACUCCAUAUAAAAGCUGCAAAAGACGUUUGUAUCAAUAUCGAGCAAUAAUAUAAAAUUCAUUCUUGGUGAAAGUACUGAGCAGGUGUCGUAGGAUUUACAACGUGCAUAUUGACAUUAUCACCGUCCGGUUUAUUUUCUUGACUAUCGGUGAGCUGCAAAAAUCUUUCAAUUCUGCAAGAACUGUGUUCAGGCCCAACGCCAUCGGAACCGUGAGGAACUGAUGCCAUACAUCGAAUCACUUAUUCCAGUUUUAUUCUACUAAGAAAUCAGGGUCAGAUUAUAUUCCAGUUAUCUGCGUUCUUCAGUGUAAAUUUGCAUAAGGAAUUGGACAUUAAAACGAUCUCCGACGUUUCUCGCAUGAGAUUGGGAUUAAAAAUGAGGCGAGGUCAAUGCAAUUACUCAUUCGAUACACUGAACAAUUGUGCUAAACGAUAAUUGUAUCACUACUUUUAUUUAUAAUGCCGACUGUUAUUGUCUCUCCCUUACGUGUCUUAAAUAUUGGUUAACUUUCUGAUUUCAGUAUGAACUCUUACGAUAACCUUGACGAUAUGCAACUAAUGAACCGAAGUGUUUAGAAUUUAGAAUCUAGGAUGUUGAUAACAUAGAUUUAACCGAGACGUCAAAAAUAACAUAAUUGUGUAAUAUGUUUAUAAUUCAACAAGUCCGUGUUUCUCGAUUCGUUUUCCUCGAAUAUUCUAGUAGAUAAAAGGAAAUACAGUGAUACAUGGAAAAUAAAU
rnacentral:misc_RNA from 1 species